GUAGGUGGCAAGCGUUGUCCGGAAUUAUCGGGCGCAAAGCGCGCGCAGGCGGUCCUUUAAGUCUGAUGUGAAAGCCCACGGCUCAACCGUGGAGGGUCAUUGGAAACUGGGGGACUUGAGUACAGAAGAGGAAAGCGGAAUUCCAAGUGUAGCGGUGAAAUGCGUAGAGAUUUGGAGGAACACCAGUGGCGAAGGCGGCUUUCUGGUCUGUAACUGACGCUGAGGCGCGAAAGCGUGGGGAGCAAACAGGGAUUAGAUACCCGGGUAGUCCACGCCGUAAACGAUGAGUGCUAAGUGUUAGGGGGUUUCCCGCCCCCCUUAGUGCUGCAGCUAACGCAUUAAGCACUCCGCCUGGGGAGUACGGCCGCAAGGCUG
rnacentral:rRNA from 1 species